CAAUAGCGUAUAUUAAAGUUGUUGCGGUUAAAAGCUCGUAGUUGGAGUUCUGCCAGGUGCCGCCUGUCCGCCCCAGUGGUGAGUACGUGGCGCGCAUUUGGCCCUUUCAAGGGGAGCGUAUCUGCACUUUAUUGUGUGGUGCGGGAUCCUUGACUUUUACUUUGAGGAAAUAGGAGUGUUCCAAGCAGGCUCUCGUCGUGCACAGCUCAGCAUGGAAUAAUAGCAUUGGACCUCGAUUCUAAGCUGUUGGUUGCCAGAGCGAGGUAAUGAUGAAGAGGGAUAGGUUGGGGGCAUUCGUUAUUUAACUGUCAGGAGGUAGAAAUUCUUGGUAUUUAGUUAAAGACGGACUACUGACGAAAGCAUCUGCCAUGGAUUGUUUUC
rnacentral:rRNA from 1 species